AUGCAAGUGUAAGUACGAGCUCGAGUACAGUGAAACUGCGAAUGGCUCAUUAAAUCAGUUAUGGUUCAUUUGAUCGUACGCUUUAAUACAUGGAUAACUGUGGCAAUUCUAGAGCUAAUACAUGCGUGAAGCACCGACCUGACGGGAGGUGUGCAUUUAUCAGACCAAAACUAACCGGGUUUCGGCCCGUUUCGAUGGUGACUCUGGAUAAGCUCGCGGAUCGCACGGUCUUGCACCGGCGACAUCUCUUUAAAGCAACUGCCCUAUCAACUAUCGUCGGUACGGUAUCGGCCUACCGAGGUUGUAACGGGUGACGGAGAAUCAGGGUUCGAUUCCGGAGAGG
rnacentral:rRNA from 1 species